AGCGAACGCUGGCGGCAGGCCUAACACAUGCAAGUCGAACGAAGUCUUCGGACUUAGUGGCGGACGGGUGAGUAACACGUGGGAACGUACCUUUUGCUACGGAAUAGCUCCGGGAAACUGGAAUUAAUACCGUAUGUGCCCUACGGGGGAAAGAUUUAUCGGCAAAGGAUCGGCCCGCGUUGGAUUAGCUAGUUGGUGGGGUAAAGGCCUACCAAGGCGACGAUCCAUAGCUGGUCUGAGAGGAUGAUCAGCCACAUUGGGACUGAGACACGGCCCAAACUCCGACGGGAGGCAGCAGUGGGGAAUAUUGGACAAUGGGCGCAAGCCUGAUCCAGCCAUGCCGCGUGAGUGAUGAAGGCCCUAGGGUUGUAAAGCUCUUUCACCGAUGAAGAUAAUGACGGUAGUCGGAGAAGAAGCCCCGGCUAACUUCGUGCCAGCCGCCGCGGUAAUAC
rnacentral:rRNA from 1 species